rnacentral:lncRNA from 1 species
UGUCGGGCAACCUCUCCCUCUCCUUCUUCCUCUCCCUCUCCCUCUCCUUCUCCUUCUCCUUUCUCCCUCUCCCUCUCCCUCUCCCUCUCCUUCUACCUCUCCCUCUUCUCUCUCCCUCUCCCUCUCCCUCUCCCUCUCCCUCUCCUUCCACCUCUCCCUCUCCUUCUCCCUCUCCCUCUCCUUCUACCUCUCCCUCUUCUUUCUACCUCUUCCUCUUCUCUCUCCCUCUCCCUCUCCCUCUCCUUCCACCUCUCCCUCUCCUUCUCCCUCUCCCUCUCCUUCUACCUCUCCCUCUCCUUCUACCUCUCCCUCUCCCUCUUCUUUCUACCUCUUCCUCUUCUCUCUCCCUCUCCCUCUCCCUCUCCUUCCACCUCUCCCUCUCCCUCUCCCUCUCCCUCUCCUUCUACCUCUCCCUCUCCCUCUCCUUCUCCCUCUCCCUCUCCUUCUACCUCUCCCUCUCCCUCUUCUUUCUCCCUCUUCCUCUUCCUCUCCCUCUCCCUCUCCCUCUCCCUCUCCCUCUUCCUCUCCCUCUCCCUCUUCCUCUCCCUCUCCCUCUUCCUCUCCUUCUCCUUUCUCCCUCUCCUUCUCCCUCUCCCUCUCCCUCUCCUUCUCCCUCUCCCUCUCCUUCUACCUCUUCCUCUCCCUCUCCCUCUCCUCUCCCUCUCCCUCUCCUUCUCCCUCUCCCUCUCCUUCUCCCUCUUCCUCUCCCUCUCCCUCUCCCUCUCCUUCUCCCUCUCCCUCUCCCUUUCCCUCUCCCUCUCCUUCUCCCUCUCCCUCUCCUUCUCCCUCUUCCUCUCCCUCUCCCUCUCCCUCUCCUUCUCCCUCUCCCUCUUCCUCUCCUUCUCCUUCUCCCUCUCCUUCUGCCUCUUCCUCUGUCUUCAUAUAAUAUUGUUGUUGAUGAAGUGGCAAUAGCACUUCUCAUUUUCUUUGGGCGCCUAAGGUGACCAGGGUUGGUAUCCCAGUUUCUUCCCAGAUCUGGGUUUGUGCUUCGGAGGGGGUUUUCUUGUAGGCAUGGAGCCGUCAAGAAGACGAAGAGUGUGUAGUACAGAUAUGUCAUCGUUAGAUAAGGUGGCUUUGGACAGAUAUGUCAUCGUUAGAUCAGGUGGCUUUGGACAGAUAUGUCAUAGUUAGAUCAGGUGGCUUUGGACAGAUAUGUCAUCGUUAGAUAAGGUGGCUUUG